GGGGCUAUCGUCUAGCGGUCAGGACGGCGGGUUCUCAGCUCGUUAACCGGGGUUCGAUUCCCCGUAGCCCUA
rnacentral:tRNA from 1 species